CUGUAACUCCCUCCACCCCCAGCCAACUCUCUUCUCUUUCAUCUGCUUGCUUACCAGAGGGCUCCCAGCAAAGCAGAACUUCCCCCUUUUCAUCCAUCUGGAGAUAAAUAUAGGAAUGUGGGAGUCCCAUAGAAGCGUCCCUUCACUCUACUUGAAAGGAAGCAGCAAAUCUUCUAGGAGGGAGUGCUUGUGAAUCUAGAAGACAAGAAUGGGUAGGAUGUCGCCAAGGAAGGAAGGAAAUAGCUUGAGCCAAGGCAUCUCAGGUUGGGCCCUGCCAUUAAAUGAAACGGAAUUCAGCUCCUAACCAGGAAUACUCCCAGGCAUUGGUUAUUGUUACGUGGGAAAUCGCCCUCCCACAGGACUGGAGCACUUGUCCUGGCGGCAGCCUGGACUAAUGGCUGUCACUAGUAAUCCUGAAAAAUGUCUGGCUUAAGGAAACAUUUGAAAGGUCACUGGAUGACAUCACAGAGAUUACUUCCAGUUCAGGCAGCAGUAGAGAAAACCAGAGAAGAGAGGGAAGAGCAGAGAUCUCGGACGGUGCAGGCUGGCAGGGAGAACCUGGGGCCUCUGAAGGCAGAUGCAGACGGAGCGGCAGGAUGGCCGGUUGGGGCCUACGAGAAGGUCAGAGAGGAAAGCGUUGUAAAUACUGUGUACUUCUGACCAUUCUGGCUGAACUUGAAAACAGGCAUCUUCGUCUGCGGUUAAUUAGAUUAACUCAGCUGCGAAUGCAAACAGAAUCGGCCACUCCAGCAACAACCAGCGCUUGUUGAACAUGUGUUGUAAUCUUGCCUUUAAAUACAACCAUAUGUAUGACAUAUUUUGUUUUCUCUUGGCCAUUGGACUGGAAAACUAUUAAGACAACAUCUGCUUUGCUUUCUGCCUGAAUCGGGGGCAGAGAGCAGGUCUCUGUAGUGUCCUUCAGAUUAUGCCUGGGGUAUCAAGUUACAGCUGAGAACCACUUUCCCACCCCUUCACAAUCUGAUCCUGAACACGGACUUUUCUAGCAGAAACUGGACUCACUCGCUCGAGGACCAAACUCUCUCUGAUCUCCGUUCCAGCACGUGAAGUUCACCCUCCCAAAAGCGGGCCUCACCUACUCGCUAUUGUAACCCCGUGUUGGUUUUCAAAACAGCGUUCAAUUGCAUUAGAGAUUAUGUUGUUUUCCAUUAAGUUGUUUGUUUGUCUCCACCAUAACGAUAUUCCCUCCGGGAGGGCAGGACCCAUGUCUAUACUCCUCGUACCCCCA